AUAGCUCAGUGGUAGAAUAUUUGCCUAGGAUGCAGAAGGUUCUGAGUUCAAUCCUCAGU
rnacentral:tRNA from 1 species